rnacentral:rRNA from 1 species
GGAUGUGGUGAGCGGAUUCACGACGGUGUGUCGCAUUUUAAAUUUCUGGGAGGAUUGACAGAUUGAGAGCUCUUUCUUGAUUCGGUGGAUGGUUGUGCAUGUACGUUCUUAGUUGGUGCAGCGAUUUGUCUGGUUAAUUCCGAUAACGAACGAGACUCUAACCUAUUAAAUAGGUGCGUGGUUCUCUGCACUGUGCACCCUUCUUAGAGGGACAUGCGGCUCAAAGCCGCACGAAACAGGUCUGUGAUACCCUUAGAUGUACGGGGCCGCACGCGCGCUACACUGAAAGAAGCAGCGUAUUUUUAUCCCUGUCUGUUAAGGCAGUAAGCUUAGAAAAAAGUAACUUGAGCAAAUACAAAGGGA